UACGAAGGGGGCUAGCGUUGUUCGGAAUUACUGGGCGUAAAGCGCACGUAGGCGGAUCGAUCAGUCAGGGGUGAAAUCCCAGGGCUCAACCCUGGAACUGCCUUUGAUACUGUCGAUCUGGAGUAUGGAAGAGGUGAGUGGAAUUCCGAGUGUAGAGGUGAAAUUCGUAGAUAUUCGCAAGAACACCAGUGGCGAAGGCGGCUCACUGGCCCGGUAUUGACGCUGAGGUGCGAAAGCGUGGGGAGCAAACAGG
rnacentral:rRNA from 1 species